rnacentral:rRNA from 1 species
CCUGCCAGCCAUCCCUCUCUGAACCUGCCCAACAUCGGCUCAUUUUGGAAGCUAGGUGGGGUCAAGCCGGGCUAGUACUUGAUUGGGAGACUGUCUGGGAAUGCCAGGUGCUGUAGGC